rnacentral:rRNA from 1 species
ACUGACAGCCAUGGUUACCGCGGCUGCUGGCACGGAGUUAGCCGGUGCUUCUUCUGUGAGUGAUGUCCUUCCUGCCGGUUAUUGACCCGCAGGCCUUCUUCCUCACUGAAAGUGCUUUACAACCCGAAGGCCUUCUUCACACACGCGGCAUGGCUGGAUCAGGGUUGCCCCCACUUGUCCAAUAUUCCCCACUGCUGCCUCCCGUAGGAGUCUGGGCCGUGUCUCAGUCCCAGUGUGGCUGAUCAUCCUCUCAGACCAGCUACGGAUCGUCGCCUUGGUGAGCCGUUACCUCACCAACCAGCUAAUCCGACAUAGGCUCAUCCGAUAGCGCGAGGCCCGAAGGUCCCCCGCUUUCCCCCGUAGGGCUAUGCGGUAUUAGCCUGGGUUUCCCCAGGUUAUCCCCCGACUACCGGGCAGAUUCCUAUGCAUUACUCACCCGUCCGCCGCUCGCCACCAGGGAGCAAGCUCCCCGGUGCUGCCGCUCGACUUGCAUGUGUUAGGCCUGCCGCCAGCGUUCAAU